UUCACAAAAUUCCCAAAUCCAUCACAAAACCUAAUCCAACUCUCUCUCUUCUCUCUGGCGGAAAUCGCCGCCAUCCGCCACCGCCGCCUCGCGGUCGCCGCUCGUCCUCGGCUGUCCGACGAGCAGGGCUGCCGCCUACUGCGUCGCCGGAGCGACACCGGCUCCGCCUCCCUUCUCCGAUUCGCACACUUUCCCCAAAUUCGUAUAUUUCCUAAAUUGAAGAAGCGAGCAGCGUCUACUCCCUCCUCUCGUUUCGUUCUUCCCCGGUGAAGUUGCCGACAAGGGAAAGGCGUCGCCUUUCUUCUUCCGUCUCUUUCUCCGUCGCGCGUGGAAGUUCCGGGGUCGCCAUCGCGCCUACGCCGUCAGCCUCGGCGAGCAGCGCCGCUUGUCUCCGCCGUUGGCCUCACGCCGGCGUUUUCUCCAUGCCGGGCAGUCCGUCGUCUAAGAUAAGUCCCUUUCCCCUAACCCCUUUAAUUAUUCCGUAAAUCUGGAGUUCUCGGUUGAUGCUCGAUUCAACAUCUUGGGUGUUCUUAGUCACUAGGAUGAGCUUAAUAUUUUGCAAUUAGUCAUUGGCUUUGAUGCAAAAGAUCACUAAUUAUGAAGCUUAGGGCAGCAACUAAAUUGAUGAGGCCUUGAUGUCUUAACUUGCACAUGAGACCUACUGUGCUGAUAUUGCUAAGUUCGCAUUUUGAUUCUUGAGCAUCUAUGGUUCUAAGUUCUUGACUAUCUAUUGGGGUUGGUUUAUAUGAUGUAAAGCAUGAUGUUGGGUGUUGAGGCAAUUACCUAUUGAAGCUGCGGCUGCUUUGAGAAUUCAGCUCUUAAAACCUCAUCUUUCUUCCACUCAAACUUGCUGUGUUGCUGGAAAAAUUUGAAGGUGUGUAGGAGAGUGUUCAAGGGUGGUGUGGAGGGGAAUUUAUAGCAGAAUGUGUACUCGUGAGAAUUUAAUGGAGCUGUUGUAUUACUUGUUCUCUUCUUGCAGCAAAUCCUUCUUUUUAAGAUCUUCACUAAGCUUUUAAUUAAUACAUUCGUCUCUUUCUUGAAGCACAAGUACUCCCUUCAUAAUAUCACUUGUUUGGACAUGUAGGGGUGCAGGUGGUUGCUUGAUUCAGGCAGAUUUGGUGCAGCUGCCAUUUUGGGAUCAUUUUGACUUCCUUUGAUAAAGUUGUACCCAUAGGAGAAAGAGUUAUUGGGCUGUUAUUGGGCUGACCUUCGGGCCGACGGGCCAAACUCUCGGGCUGCGCAAGGUGUGGCUCGGGCUUAAGAAGAGAGGCCCAACAUUUGCAUAUUUGUAUUCUUUAAAUUCUUUCUCAUCAACACGUGUGUAAAUUAUUUUGUAACUAGAGAGUAGCUUGAUGUGUAUUCGAACUUUCUGGAUCAGCAAAGUAACCUCGUAUUCUUUCUUGA